AACGAACGCUGGCGGCAGGCCUAACACAUGCAAGUCGAACGCCCUAGCAAUAGGGAGUGGCAGACGGGUGAGUAACACGUGGGAACCUUCCCCUAUAGUACGGAAUAGCUCAGGGAAACUUGAAGUAAUACCGUAUACGCCCGAGAGGGGAAAGAUUUAUCGCUAUAGGAUGGGCCCGCGUCGGAUUAGCUAGUUGGUGAGGUAAUGGCUCACCAAGGCGACGAUCCGUAGCUGGUUUGAGAGAACGACCAGCCACACUGGGACUGAGACACGGCCCAGACUCCUACGGGAGGCAGCAGUGGGGAAUAUUGGACAAUGGGCGCAAGCCUGAUCCAGCCAUGCCGCGUGAGUGAUGAAGGCCUUAGGGUUGUAAAGCUCUUUUAGCAGGGAAGAUAAUGACUGUACCUGCAGAAUAAGCUCCGGCUAACUUCGUGCCAGCAGCCGC
rnacentral:rRNA from 1 species